UUCAACUCUAUCUUUAGACACUGGGAGCUUUUUGUUGAGGUCCAGAUUAAUAUGGAUGUCAAAUUUUAAUUCAUCACCUGACUCAAGGCUGAACUUGUUAUGUUGCCAUGAGGUUGUGCCAGUUGGAAGGUUCUCAGUCAUGUUGGGGAGAUCAGUCUGUGCAGCCGUGCUAAUUCCAGUCAGUUGGUUGUGCAGGUGAAUCAUCAAAAUAUGUAUAGCUGAUCGGAAAAAUAAAAAGAAAAAAUGGACAGCUCAAGAAGCCUGGAAUUGUUUAGUACCAAUGAAAUAUUCCGUGACAUUAAGAAGUAAUGAGACUUAGCAGGAUGUGACUGCAGCAGUACACUAGAUGGUUGCAGAAGUGGAAACUACAUACACCAUUGUAAAGCCCAACUACCAUGACUGUCCUACAGGAGACUUGCAAGGAUCUCAUCCACUGGCUAAAGCAGCUGAUGUUGUUCAGAGGGUUGUCAUAAAGAUGUUUGGUGCAAACAGGAAGGAAGGAGUAGGCACAUUUAGUUUGGUCCUUCUCUUGUUGCCAUAGGAAACGGCCAUCAUUGUCUUGUGUCCCAGUUAUGUCAUUUAUAGAUAGUCUUGUCUGUCAUAAGUCUAAGUCAGCUGUGUAAAACUUCUGUUUUGCCCUAAGUUGUCAAACAGAAUAAACAAAUGAAAUU